AGACGUCUACAUUAGAUACCCGUGUAGUCCCAGCCGUAAACUAUGCGCGUUAGGUGUAUCGGUGACCACGAGUCACCGAGGUGCCGAAGGGAAACCGUGAAACGUGCCGCCUGGGGAGUACGUCCGCAAGGAUGAAACUUAAAGGAAUUGGCGGGGGAGCACCGCAACGGGAGGAGCGUGCGGUUUAAUUGGAUUCAACACCGUAAAACUCACCAGGGAAGACUGUUACAUGAAGGCCGAGAUGAAGACUCUGCUAGAUUUUCAG
rnacentral:rRNA from 1 species